rnacentral:rRNA from 1 species
AGUGGCGAACGGGUGAGUAACACGUGAGCAACCUGCCCCUGACUCUGGGAUAAGCGCUGGAAACGGCGUCUAAUACUGGAUAUGUGACGUGACCGCAUGGUCUGCGUCUGGAAAGAAUUUCGGUUGGGGAUGGGCUCGCGGCCUAUCAGCUUGUUGGUGAGGUAAUGGCUCACCAAGGCGUCGACGGGUAGCCGGCCUGAGAGGGUGACCGGCCACACUGGGACUGAGACACGGCCCAGACUCCUACGGGAGGCAGCAGUGGGGAAUAUUGCACAAUGGGCGAAAGCCUGAUGCAGCAACGCCGCGUGAGGGAUGACGGCCUUCGGGUUGUAAACCUCUUUUAGCAGGGAAGAAGCGAAAGUGACGGUACCUGCAGAAAAAGCGCCGGCUAACUACGUGCCAGCAGCCGCGGUAAUACGUAGGGCGCAAGCGUUAUCCGGAAUUAUUGGGCGUAAAGAGCUCGUAGGCGGUUUGUCGCGUCUGCUGUGAAAUCCGGAGGCUCAACCUCCGGCCUGCAGUGGGUACGGGCAGACUAGAGUGCGGUAGGGGAGAUUGGAAUUCCUGGUGUAGCGGUGGAAUGCGCAGAUAUCAGGAGGAACACCGAUGGCGAAGGCAGAUCUCUGGGCCGUAACUGACGCUGAGGAGCGAAAGGGUGGGGAGCAAACAGGCUUAGAUACCCUGGUAGUCCACCCCGUAAACGUUGGGAACUAGUUGUGGGGUCCAUUCCACGGAUUCCGUGACGCAGCUAACGCAUUAAGUUCCCCGCCUGGGGAGUACGGCCGCAAGGCUAAAACUCAAAGGAAUUGACGGGGACCCGCACAAGCGGCGGAGCAUGCGGAUUAAUUCGAUGCAACGCGAAGAACCUUACCAAGGCUUGACAUAUACGAGAACGGGCCAGAAAUGGUCAACUCUUUGGACACUCGUAAACAGGUGGUGCAUGGUUGUCGUCAGCUCGUGUCGUGAGAUGUUGGGUUAAGUCCCGCAACGAGCGCAACCCUCGUUCUAUGUUGCCAGCACGUAAUGGUGGGAACUCAUGGGAUACUGCCGGGGUCAACUCGGAGGAAGGUGGGGAUGACGUCAAAUCAUCAUGCCCCUUAUGUCUUGGGCUUCACGCAUGCUACAAUGGCCGGUACAAAGGGCUGCAAUACCGCGAGGUGGAGCGAAUCCCAAAAAGCCGGUCCCAGUUCGGAUUGAGGUCUGCAACUCGACCUCAUGAAGUCGGAGUCGCUAGUAAUCGCAGAUCAGCAACGCUGCGGUGAAUACGUUCCCGGGUCUUGUACACACCGCCCGUCAAGUCAUGAAAGUCGGUAACACCUGAAGCCGGUGGCC